GGAGAGUUUGAUCCUGGCUCAGGAUGAACGCUAGCGGCAGGCUUAACACAUGCAAGUCGAGGGGCAGCAUAAUGGAUAGCAAUAUCUAUGGUGGCGACCGGCGCACGGGUGCGUAACGCGUAUGCAACCUACCUUUAACAGGGGGAUAACACUGAGAAAUUGGUACUAAUACCCCAUAACAUCAUGAAAGGCAUCUUUUAUGGUUGAAAAUUCCGAUGGUUAGAGAUGGGCAUGCGUUGUAUUAGCUAGUUGGUGAGGUAACGGCUCACCAAGGCGACGAUACAUAGGGGGACUGAGAGGUUAACCCCCCACACUGGUACUGAGACACGGACCAGACUCCUACGGGAGGCAGCAGUGAGGAAUAUUGGUCAAUGGACGCAAGUCUGAACCAGCCAUGCCGCGUGCAGGAUGACGGCUCUAUGAGUUGUAAACUGCUUUUGUACUAGGGUAAACUCACCUACGUGUAGGUGACUGAAAGUAUAGUACGAAUAAGGAUCGGCUAACUCCGUGCCAGCAGCCGCGGUAAUACGGAGGAUUCAAGCGUUAUCCGGAUUUAUUGGGUUUAAAGGGUGCGUAGGCGGUUUGAUAAGUUAGAGGUGAAAUGUUAGGGCUCAACCCUGAAACUGCCUCUAAUACUGUUGGACUAGAGAGUAGUUGCGGUAGGCGGAAUGUAUGGUGUAGCGGUGAAAUGCUUAGAGAUCAUACAGAACACCGAUUGCGAAGGCAGCUUACCAAACUAUAUCUGACGUUGAGGCACGAAAGCGUGGGGAGCAAACAGGAUUAGAUACCCUGGUAGUCCACGCAGUAAACGAUGAUAACUCGUUGUCGGCGAUACACAGUCGGUGACUAAGCGAAAGCGAUAAGUUAUCCACCUGGGGAGUACGUUCGCAAGAAUGAAACUCAAAGGAAUUGACGGGGGCCCGCACAAGCGGAGGAACAUGUGGUUUAAUUCGAUGAUACGCGAGGAACCUUACCCGGGCUUAAAUUGCAGACGAAUUACGAGGAAACUUGUAAGCCGCAAGGCGUCUGUGAAGGUGCUGCAUGGUUGUCGUCAGCUCGUGCCGUGAGGUGUCGGCUUAAGUGCCAUAACGAGCGCAACCCUUGUGGUCAGUUACUAACAGGUUCUGCUGAGGACUCUGACAAGACUGCCAUCGUAAGAUGUGAGGAAGGUGGGGAUGACGUCAAAUCAGCACGGCCCUUACGUCCGGGGCUACACACGUGUUACAAUGGGGGGUACAGA
rnacentral:rRNA from 1 species